UGCGUAGGUGGCGCCGUAAGUCGGGUGUGAAAUUUCGGAGCUUAACUCCGAAACUGCAUUCGAUACUGCGGUGCUUGAGGACUGGAGAGGAGACUGGAAUUCAUGGUGUAGCGGUGAAAUGCGUAGAGAUCAUGAGGAAGACCAGUGGCGAAGGCGGGUCUCUGGACAGUUCCUGACACUGAGGACAAGGCCAGGGGAGCAAACG
rnacentral:rRNA from 1 species